rnacentral:rRNA from 1 species
UACGAAGGGGGCUAGCGUUGCUCGGAAUCACUGGGCGUAAAGGGUGCGUAGGCGGGUCUUUAAGUCAGGGGUGAAAUCCUGGAGCUCAACUCCAGAACUGCCCUUGAUACUGGCGGUCUCGAGUCCGGGAGAGGUGAGUGGAACUGCGAGUGUAGAGGUGAAAUUCGUAGAUAUUCGCAAGAACACCAGUGGCGAAGGCGGCUCACUGGCCCGGUACUCGACGCUGAGGUGCGAAGCGUGGGAGCAACAGG